UUGGACAAUGAACGAAAGUUUGAUCCAGCAAUAUUACUUGAAUGAAGACGGCAAUUUUUGUUGUAAAAUUCUUUCAUUAAAAGAAGAUAAUGACUUUAUUUAAAGAAGUUAGUCCCGGCUAAUACCCGUGCCAGCAGUCGCGGUGAAACGGGAGGGGCAGGCGUUACCCAUCAUGACUGGGCGUAAAGGGUCCGUAGACAUUAAAGUAAGUUACUCGUGAAAUUAUUAAGUUAUACUUAAAAUAUACUUGUUAAUACUGCUUUAAUUGAGUUUUCUACAGAAGAGUACAAUUUGAUAAGUAGGGGUGAAAUCCGUAGAUAUAUAAAGGAAUUCCAGAAGCGAAGGCGACUCUUUAGUAAAAACUGACGUUGAGGGACGAAAGUGUAGGGAGCAAACAGGAUUAGAUACCCUGGUAGUCUACACCGUAAAUACUGAGUGCUGUAAUUUAAUGUAAAAAAAAAUUAUUUGGAUUAUUAAAGCUAACGCAAUAAGCACUCCGCCUGAGGAGUACGAUCGCAAGAUUGGAACUCAACGGAAGUGACGGGGGCUGGUUACUAGUGGUGGGGUACGUGGUUUAAUUCGAUAAUCCGCGCAAAACCUUACCAAUUUUUGACAUAGUAAAAAUAGUCUAUUUUACGUUUUGUAAAAAAAACUAAGCUACUACAGGUGUUGCACGACUGUCGUCAACUCGUGUUGUGAUAUGUUUGGUUAAUUCCAACGAAACGAGUGUAACUCUUAUCUUUAAUUAAAACAAUUUACUGUUUUUAAAAAUGAAAAUUUCUUAAAAAGCUUUAAUUGAAACUGCCAAUAAUAAGUUGGAGGAAGGUAAGAACUAAGCCAAGUCAAUGUGACCCUUAUGAAUUGGGCUACACACGUGCUACAAUGGAAAUCACAGAAAGUUACAAAAAAUAAAACUUUUUGUUAAUCUUUAAAAAUUUCCCCGGUUCGGAUUGUAGGCUGAAAUUCGCCUACAUGAAGUCGGAAUCACUAGUAAUCGCAAAUCAGAACGUUGCGGUGAAUUUGUAAACCAGCCUUGUACACACCGCCCGUCACAUGCAGAAAGCUAGUUUUACUUGAAAACUUAACUUGUUCUGGUUGAGUUGAGGGGAAGAUUGGUAAUUUGGAUGAAGUCGUAACAAGGUAUCCGU
rnacentral:rRNA from 1 species